GACGAACGCUGGCGGCGUGCUUAACACAUGCAAGUCGAACGGUGAUCUUGGGAGCUUGCUCCUGGGUGAUCAGUGGCGAACGGGUGAGUAACACGUGAGUAACCUGCCCCUGACUCUGGAAUAACUUCGGGAAACCGAAGCUAAUACCGGAUAUGACACAGAGCCGCAUGGUUUCUGUGUGGAAAGUUUUUUCGGUUGGGGAUGGACUCGCGGCCUAUCAGCUUGUUGGUGAGGUAAUGGCUCACCAAGGCGACGACGGGUAGCCGGCCUGAGAGGGCGACCGGCCACACUGGGACUGAGACACGGCCCAGACUCCUACGGGAGGCAGCAGUGGGGAAUAUUGCACAAUGGGCGAAAGCCUGAUGCAGCGACGCCGCGUGAGGGAUGAAGGCCUUCGGGUUGUAAACCUCUUUCAGUAGGGAAGAAGCGCAAGUGACGGUACCUACAGAAGAAGCACCGGCUAACUACGUGCCAGCCGCCGCCGUAAAAC
rnacentral:rRNA from 1 species